AGUGAACGCUGGCGGUAGGCCUAACACAUGCAAGUCGAACGGCAGCACAGUAAGAGCUUGCUCUUACGGGUGGCGAGUGGCGGACGGGUGAGGAAUACAGCGGAAGCUACUUUUUCGUGGGGGAUAACGUAGGGAAACUUACGCUAAUACCGCAUACGACCUACGGGUGAAAGCAGGGGAUCUUCGUACCUUGCGCGAUUGAAUGAGCCGAUGUCGGAUUAGCUAGUUGGCGGGGUAAAGGCCCACCAAGGCGACGAUCAGUAGCUGGUCUGAGAGGUUGAUCAGCAACACUGGAACUGAGAAACGGUCCAGACUCCUACGGGAGGAAGCAGUGGGGAAUAUUGGACAAUGGGCGCAAGCCUGAUCCAGCCAUACCGCGUGGGUGAAGAAGGCCUUCGGGUUGUAAAGCCCUUUUGUUGGGAAAGAAAAGCAGCAGGUUAAUACCCCGAUGUUCUGACGGUACCCAAAGAAUAAGCACCGGCUAACUUCGUG
rnacentral:rRNA from 1 species